rfam:Robiginitalea biformata HTCC2501, complete genome.
ACUCAACAUUACUUUAAUUAGAAAGGGUGAGUUUAGGUUGUAAAAGCAAGCCUUCUUUGAAAGGAUCCUUGAGCAAUCUGUUAGCCCUAAACCUGUUUAUAGGAGUUU